GCCUAUGGCCAUAUCACCCUGAACACACCCAAUUUCAUCUGAUUUCAGAAGCUAAGCAGGGUCAGGCCUGGUUAGUACUUGGUUGGGAGACCACCUGGGAAUACUGGGUGCUGUAGGCA
rnacentral:rRNA from 1 species